GACGAACGCUGGCGGCGUGCUUAACACAUGCAAGUCGAGCGGUAAGGCCUUUCGGGGUACACGAGCGGCGAACGGGUGAGUAACACGUGGGUGAUCUGCCCUGCACUUCGGGAUAAGCCUGGGAAACUGGGUCUAAUACCGGAUAUGACCUCCUAUCGCAUGGUGGGUGGUGGAAAGAUUUAUCGGUGCAGGAUGGGCCCGCGGCCUAUCAGCUUGUUGGUGGGGUAAUGGCCUACCAAGGCGACGACGGGUAGCCGACCUGAGAGGGUGACCGGCCACACUGGGACUGAGACACGGCCCAGUCUCCUACGGGAGGCAGCAGUGGGGAAUAUUGCACAAUGGGCGAAAGCCUGAUGCAGCGACGCCGCGUGAGGGAUGACGGCCUUCGGGUUGUAAACCUCUUUCAGCAGGGACGAAGCGCAAGUGACGGUACCUGCAGAAGAAGCACCGGCUAACUACGUG
rnacentral:rRNA from 1 species